rnacentral:lncRNA from 1 species
CACAGCUUCCUCGUCUACGUUCUCAGGCUCAGGCCUCGCUUCUGGCUUCUCCAGAAGAGUAUACUCUGAGUACACUACAUCUUCCUCCACAGUUAAUCCAUCACUGAGAACCUUAUCUUCAGGACUUUCUUCCUCCGCAUUCACACUCACUGGUUCAGGUUUUCUCAACAGCGUCAUGUCACUAAACCUCCCAUUCUCCCUAUCAUUCCUCAUUUUCAAUGUCAGGUUGCGUUUCAACCGCAGCUUAGACUCAUCCUCCUCUUCAUUAUUCACAUAAUACGAACUCGGCUUUCUCAGUAUAACAUUAGGCAAAGUCCUUUUGGGAGGAGUAGCAGCAGCAGCGGCAUCCAAUGGCUUCUUCAGAGAAAAGUUUGGCUUUUUCACCACUGGCUUAUCCGAAGCUUCGAACUUGACUCCGUCUCUAGGAACUGGCUUCACCAAGUUCAACCCAUCCAGUGAAGGUGAAGUGGGUUUCUUCUUCGUCUUCGUAUCUUCCUUUGACCCAUCCAAAGGAAUCGAUUCAAUGUCGGGAAGCUUACCCUUGUUCUUGUAAAAAGACUUCUCAACUUCAACAAACGAAGCUUCUGGAUUCACUUUCCUAGCCACUAUCUGUUUCAUCAUUUCUCACCCAUUAACAACAAUCAUAUCAUCGUCACUUUAUAGAGAAAAAUCUCUCACCUUGGCUAAAGUCAGUUUGGGGUCUUCUCCGAGUAAGCGGCCGAACUUGAGCUCCAUUUGAUCCCAUUCGCUCAGCUUCGGCUCUUCCCUUUUCGAAGCAGAGACUACAAACCUCUUGUGCUUAGCUUGUACGUUUCUUCUCAGUCGAACACUAGAAGGAAACAAGACGGCGGCUGAAGCGGAUGAGGAGAAGGCGAGGACGUCCAUUUUCCGAUUAUGCCCAGCUAUGAUUCUAAUUUCUCCGAGCUAGAAUCAUGGGUUCGAUCAAAAUCUCGAAUUUCGUUUUAACUCGAGUGACUGGCUCGACCUCUGUGUGAAGAAGUACAGAGGAGAGAGGGGCUAUGGCGGAAGGAGGAGGAGCUUUAUCGGUUUAGCUUUGCAUAUUUUUUCGAUUCCUGGUUCUACCAGUGGUGGAAAGACACGUGGUUGAUGAAGCAAUGACCAAGCCAUUGCAUUAACGUCUUUCUGUUCUUUAGCUUUAGAGGUAAACUGCUAGUCGUUUUCUUUAUCAUGAACGUCAACCACUGGUCUUCUUUCUAGUAUAAACGGCGUAUAUUCCCUCAAGAAAUGAAGCUAGCCCCACUUAGUUUGGUUAGCGAGGCCCAUAAAAAGUUGUUUGGAGAACUAAAUUAAUAGCGUAGGUGUGGAAGUUUGUGAACACGCAUUAUAUGAUUAUAUAUAUGAUUAAGUGGUUGUCAGCCAAUUCGUAAAUACAAAUAUCGUUUCAUCUUUGUUGGAUUGGAUGUCAAAAAACAUUUAUUUUGGGGCUCUCCACAGGAAUUCUUUGAACAAACAUUUAGUGAAAAGAGUGUUCGUUCUAAAACCUCCAAGGAAGAUCUCGUAGGAGGUCCCUUGAGCUCAAUAGAGACCUGACUGCCUUCUUGGUUCAAGGUUACUGGUUGUCCUCUGUUUGAAACUGAUGGCUCUGCGGAAGACGGGUCUAAUCUAUAACAAUUUGAACCAGCCAAGUCAAAAUGAGAAGAAAUGUGAAAGAAAGAACUCAUCAAGACACUAAACCGGAAAGAACCUUUGUGGUUUCCCUUGUAAAGAUGCUUCCACGGUGGUCUGAGAAACCGGAUUCGAAGGAGUUCUCUCGACUGGAUCACUGUUAAUGGUUUCCUCCUCAGAGGAAUCUGAUGAUGUAUCGCUCUCAAGCUGCAUUUCUUGAUUAAGAAAACAAGCAUAUGAAUCAGCUCCAUUUAGAGUAUUUGUUAAAAAAAAAAAGCUUUAGUCUUGUCUCUAGCAAUUACCAGUUGGAGCAGAUGUAUCUUCAAUCUCAGGCAAACCUUUUCUUCUCAACCAUGAUUCAAACGCGAGAAAUUUCCAUUUUGCUGCCAGGUUCCGGUAGGGCAAGAAUCCGAUCAAAGAUCCAUAGGAAACCUGUAAAGAAGAGAAACUGAGUUAAUAACCAAAAAGGAGAUGAAACCUUAAACUAGAAAUGAGUGCAGGUCUUACUUACAGCAAAUCCUCGAGUGCUGGAGCUUAUUAGCUCAACAUCCGCUCGUAGCUCUGUCUUAACUAGAGACUCUGCCUUAAUCCAGUCACUUUCCUAUCAAAUUCAUACAAGACGAGCUUAUGAUUUGCACUCCUAUCUUAUGAACAAACAUUUAGUGAAAAGAGUGUUCGUUCUAAAACCUCCAAGGAAGAUCUCGUAGGAGGUCCCUUGAGCUCAAUAGAGACCUGACUGCCUUCUUGGUUCAAGGUUACUGGUUGUCCUCUGUUUGAAACUGAUGGCUCUGCGGAAGACGGGUCUAAUCUAUAACAAUUUGAACCAGCCAAGUCAAAAUGAGAAGAAAUGUGAAAGAAAGAACUCAUCAAGACACUAAACCGGAAAGAACCUUUGUGGUUUCCCUUGUAAAGAUGCUUCCACGGUGGUCUGAGAAACCGGAUUCGAAGGAGUUCUCUCGACUGGAUCACUGUUAAUGGUUUCCUCCUCAGAGGAAUCUGAUGAUGUAUCGCUCUCAAGCUGCAUUUCUUGAUUAAGAAAACAAGCAUAUGAAUCAGCUCCAUUUAGAGUAUUUGUUAAAAAAAAAAAGCUUUAGUCUUGUCUCUAGCAAUUACCAGUUGGAGCAGAUGUAUCUUCAAUCUCAGGCAACUCCACAGCUUCCUCGUCUACGUUCUCAGGCUCAGGCCUCGCUUCUGGCUUCUCCAGAAGAGUAUACUCUGAGUACACUACAUCUUCCUCCACAGUUAAUCCAUCACUGAGAACCUUAUCUUCAGGACUUUCUUCCUCCGCAUUCACACUCACUGGUUCAGGUUUUCUCAACAGCGUCAUGUCACUAAACCUCCCAUUCUCCCUAUCAUUCCUCAUUUUCAAUGUCAGGUUGCGUUUCAACCGCAGCUUAGACUCAUCCUCCUCUUCAUUAUUCACAUAAUACGAACUCGGCUUUCUCAGUAUAACAUUAGGCAAAGUCCUUUUGGGAGGAGUAGCAGCAGCAGCAACUGGAGCAGCAGCAGCAGCAUC